GGAAACCGGUGGGAAUCCGGUGCGGUCGCGCCACUGUCACCCGACCGCCCGCUGCCCGCGGGCAUCGGGGAGCCAGAC
rnacentral:sRNA from 16 species